UGGGGAAUUUUGGACAAUGGGCGAAAGCCUGAUCCAGCCAUGCCGCGUGAGUGAAGAAGGCCUUCGGGUUGUAAAGCUCUUUUGUCCGGGAGGAAAUCCCGUAGCCUAAUACGCUGCGGGGAUGACAGUACUGGAAGAAUAAGCACCGGCUAACUACGUGCCAGCAGCCGCGGUAAUACGUAGGGUGCAAGCGUUAAUCGGAAUUACUGGGCGUAAAGCGUGCGCAGGCGGUUUGAUAAGUCAGAUGUGAAAUCCCCGGGCUUAACCUGGGAACUGCGUUUGAAACUGUCAGGCUAGAGUACGUCAGAGGGGGGUGGAAUUCCACGUGUAGCAGUGAAAUGCGUAGAGAUGUGGAGGAACACCGAUGGCGAAGGCAGCCCCCUGGGAUGAUACUGACGCUCAUGCACGAAAGCGUGGGGAGCAAACA
rnacentral:rRNA from 1 species